rnacentral:rRNA from 1 species
UUUAAUUGAAGAGUUUGAUCAUGGCUCAGAUUGAACGCUGGCGGCAGGCCUAACACAUGCAAGUCGAGCGGCAGCGACUUAACUGAACCUUCGGGGAACGUUAAGGGCGGCGAGCGGCGGA